UAAAAGAGGGAGUGAUUGUUCAAAUUCACAACUUUGAAAUAUGUAGAUUGAAGCAUAUUGUGGAAUUAAAUUUCUAAUGAGGUUCUUAGGAAAAAAAAUCCAUGGAGAAAUGUGGUCUGUGGAUUCAUGGGAUGAGGUUUUUACUUGAAUUCAACAAAGCAUUUGAGGAUUAUCUUUGUUUGUGUCAUGCGUAUGCUUGUGUUUUUGGCAAAUUAGUUGUAGUAAUA
rnacentral:misc_RNA from 1 species